CACGUAGUUAGCCGUGGCUUUCUCAUAAGGUACCGUCAAUUGAUAGUCAUUUCCUCCUAUCACCUUUCUUCCCUUAUAACAGAAUUUUACAACCCGAAGGCCUUCUUCAUUCACGCGGCGUUGCUCGGUCAGGCUUUCGCCCAUUGCCGAAGAUUCCCUACUGCUGCCUCCCGUAGGAGUCUGGGCCGUGUCCCAGUCCCAGUGUGGCCGUUCACCCUCUCAGGUCGGCUACGCAUCGUCGCCUUGGUAGGCCUUUACCCCACCAACUAGCUAAUGCGCCGCAGGCUCAUCCAUCAGUGAUGCCAGGAGCAUCUUUAAACUUUCGUCCUAUCCGGUAUUAGCGAUCGUUUCCAAUCGUUGUCCCCGUCUGAUGGGCAGAUCACCUACGUGUUACUCACCCGUUCGCCGCUUCCCACCGAAGUGGUUCGCUCGACUUGCAUGUAUUAGGCACGCCGCCAGCGUUCAUCCUGAGCCAGGAUCAAACUCU
rnacentral:rRNA from 1 species